AACUUUUAGCAAUGGAUCACUUGGUUCUGGCAUCGAUGAAGAACGCAGCGAAAUGCGAUACGUAAUGUGAAUUGCAGAAUUCAGUGAAUCAUCGAAUCUUUGAACGCACCUUGCGCCCCUUGGCAUUCCGAGGGGCACACCCGUUUGAGUGUCGUGAAAUUCUCAAAAACCUUUCUUUGGAAGGGAUUUUGGACUUGGAGGCCUUUUGCUGGUUUCACCUCGAAGCGAGCUCCUCCCAAAUGGAUUAGUGGGGUCUGCUUUGCCGAUCCUUGACGUGAUAAGAUGUUUCUACGUCUUGGGUUUGGCACUGUCACUCGGGCACCCGCUUCUAACCGUCUUGUCGACAACGAUGGCGUUCCGGUCACCACCGUUUCAUCGGUGGGAGGCUUGACCCACCAAAAAACCUUGACCUCAAAUCGGGUGAGACUACCCGCUGAACUUAAGCAUAUCAAUAAGCGGAGGCU
rnacentral:misc_RNA from 1 species